AGAGCACAUGGUGGAUGCCUAGGCGGAAGACGUCGAUGAAGGACGUAGCAGGCUGCGAUAAGCUCCGGGUAGUUGCGAGCAAACGUUGAUCCGGAGAUGUCCGAAUGGGGCAACCGCUAGCUUUUCAGGAGCUAGAACGUAAAGUGAAUUCAUAGCUUUACGUGGGUAACCGGGCGAAGUGAAACAUCUCAGUAGCCCGAGGAACAGAAAUCAACCGAGAUUCCCCUAGUAGCGGCGAGCGAACGGGGAAUAGCCUAAACUGGAUGGACGUGAUAGGCUGCCGCCGUUGUUCAUCCGGGGUUGUAGGGCCCAUUUCGAGACACCGGCAGGUGUCUCCAGGAGUAAGAAAUCCGUUGUCUAGCAGAACUGGUCUGGAAAGACCGACCGUAGUGGGUGAUAGUCCCGUAAGCGAAAGAGAGCGGACUCCUGGAUGGGUACCUGAGUACCGCGGGGCACGUGAAACCCCGUGGGAAUCUGGGAGGACCAUCUUCCAAGGCUAAAUAUGAUCUUCCGACCGAUAGUGCGAAGUACCGUGAGGGAAAGCGUGAAAAGAACCCCGGGAGGGGAGUGAAAUAGAACCUGAAACCGUGUGCUUACAAACCGUGAAAGGCCUAUGGUUCGUCCAGGCUGAUCGCGUGCCUUUUGUAGAAUGAUCCGGCGACUUACUGUAGCGGGCAAGGUUAAGGAACCGAGGUUCCGGAGCCGUAGCGAAAGCGAGUCUGAACAGGGCGUUCAGUCCGUUGCAGUAGACCCGAAGCCAGGUGACCUAUCCAUGACCAGGGUGAAGCGCAUUUAAUCGUGCGUCGGAGGCCCGAACCGGUGGCUGUUGCAAAAACCUCGGAUGAGUUGUGGAUAGGGGUGAAAUGCCAAUCGAACCUGGUGAUAGCUGGUUCUCCCCGAAAUAGCUUUAGGGCUAGCGUCGGGCGUUAAACCGCGGGGGUAGAGCACUGACAGAGCUAGGGGCCUUGACCGGUUACCGAACUCCAUCAAACUCCGAAUACCGCGGCGUAUUACCCGGCAGUCAGACUAUGGGGGAUAAGCUUCAUAGUCGAAAGGGCAACAGCCCAGAUCGUCCGCUAAGGUCCCUAAUUCUCAGCUAAGUGGUAAAGGAAGUAUGGAUUCUCAGACAGCCAGGAGGUUGGCUUAGAAGCAGCCACCCUUAAAAGAGUGCGUAAUAGCUCACUGGUCGAUGUUUCCGUGCGCCGAAAAUGUAACGGGGCUCAAGCUGAGAACCGAAGCGACGGAUUGUCUGCAGCGAUGCAGGCAGUGGUAGGGGAGCUUUCCGUAAGUCUGUGAAGCCAUACCGUAAGGAGUGGUGGAGAUAUCGGAAGUGAGAAUGUCGGAAUAAGUAGCGUAAAGAGAAGUGAGAAUCUUCUCCGCCGAAAGCCUAAGGUUUCCUGGGCAAGAGUUUUUCCCCCAGGGUAAGGCGGGACCUAAGCCGAGGUCGUAAGACGUAGGCGAUGGACAGCCGGUCAACAUUCCGGCCCCACGGAUGUUCGUUAUCAGCGAUGGAGUGACGCAGAAGGGUAGGUCUAGCAGGCGGUGGUUGUCCUGCACCAAACCCGUAGGGAGUCUGGGGAGGCAAAUCCCCCCGGGCGCUAAUCCCGAGAGGUGACGGCAGGGGUUUCAUGAAACCCCGAGUGACUGAGCCCACGCUGCCUAGAAAAACUUCUAGCGAGAGCAUCCGUGCCCGUACCGUAAACCGACACUGGUGGGCAGGUAGAGCAUACCAAGGCGGCGGGGUAAUCCCUCCUAAGGAACUCGGCAAAUUAACCCCGUAACUUCGGGAGAAGGGGUGCCCUGGAGCGUGUACUUCAUACGAGGGAAGCGUUUCGGGGCCGCAGAGAAAUGGCCCGAGCGACUGUUUAACACAAACACAGGUCUCUGCCAAGCCGUAAGGCGACGUAUAGGGGCUGACGCCUGCCCGGUGCUGGAACGUUAAGAGGAGAGCUUAGGAGCAAUCCAAAGGCUUGAAUCGAAGCGCCAGUAAACGGCGGCCGUAACUAUAACGGUCCUAAGGUAGCGAAAUUCCUUGUCAGGUAAGUUCUGACCCGCACGAAUGGCGUAACGACUUGGGCACUGUCUCGGGAGGGAGCCCGGCGAAAUUGCAACCUCGGUGAAGAUGCCGAGUACCCGCAGCAAGACGGAAAGACCCCGUGGAGCUUUACUGUAGCUUGAUGUUGGAUCUUGGUCAGUUCUGUACAGGAUACGUGGGAGGCUGGGAUGCGAGGACGCAAGUUCGCGCGGAGCCGCCGUUGGGAUACCACGCUGGGCUGGCUGGGGUUCUAACCUGGGUAGUGAUCCUAUUCAGGGACAGCGUCUGGUAGGCAGUUUGACUGGGGCGGUUGCCUCCCAAAGAGUAACGGAGGCGCUCAAAGGUUCCCUCAGCCUGGUUGGGAAUCAGGCGUAGAGUGUAAGCGCAUAAGGGAGCUUGACUGCGAGACGGACAUGUCGAGCAGAGUGGAAACACGGAGCUAGUGAUCCGGCGGCACCGCAUGGAAGGGCCGUCGCUUAUCGGAUAAAAGCUACCCCGGGGAUAACAGGCUUAUCACGCCCAAGAGUCCAUAUCGACGGCGUGGUUUGGCACCUCGAUGUCGGCUCAUCGCAUCCUGGGGCUGAAGUCGGUCCCAAGGGUUGGGCUGUUCGCCCAUUAAAGCGGUACGUGAGCUGGGUUCAGAA
rnacentral:rRNA from 1 species